rnacentral:rRNA from 1 species
GGGAGACACACGGCGGGUGCUAACGUCCGUCGUGAAGAGGGAAACAACCCAGACCGCCAGCUAAGGUCCCAAAGUCAUGGUUAAGUGGGAAACGAUGUGGGAAGGCCCAGACAGCCAGGAUGUUGGCUUAGAAGCAGCCAUCAUUUAAAGAAAGCGUAAUAGCUCACUGGUCGAGUCGGCCUGCGCGGAAGAUGUAACGGGGCUAAACCAUGCACCGAAGCUGCGGCAGCGACGCUUAUGCGUUGUUGGGUAGGGGAGCGUUCUGUAAGCCUGUGAAGGUGUGCUGUGAGGCAUGCUGGAGGUAUCAGAAGUGCGAAUGCUGACAUAAGUAACGAUAAAGCGGGUGAAAAGCCCGCUCGCCGGAAGACCAAGGGUUCCUGUCCAACGUUAAUCGGGGCAGGGUGAGUCGACCCCUAAGGCGAGGCCGAAAGGCGUAGUCGAUGGGAAACAGGUUAAUAUUCCUGUACUUGGUGUUACUGCGAAGGGGGGACGGAGAAGGCUAUGUUGGCCGGGCGACGGUUGUCCCGGUUUAAGCGUGUAGGCUGGUUUUCCAGGCAAAUCCGGAAAAUCAAGGCUGAGGCGUGAUGACGAGGCACUACGGUGCUGAAGCAACAAAUGCCCUGCUUCCAGGAAAAGCCUCUAAGCAUCAGGUAACAUCAAAUCGUACCCCAAACCGACACAGGUGGUCAGGUAGAGAAUACCAAGGCGCUUGAGAGAACUCGGGUGAAGGAACUAGGCAAAAUGGUGCCGUAACUUCGGGAGAAGGCACGCUGAUAUGUAGGUGAAGUCCCUCGCGGAUGGAGCUGAAAUCAGUCGAAGAUACCAGCUGGCUGCAACUGUUUAUUAAAAACACAGCACUGUGCAAACACGAAAGUGGACGUAUACGGUGUGACGCCUGCCCGGUGCCGGAAGGUUAAUUGAUGGGGUCAGCGCAAGCGAAGCUCUUGAUCGAAGCCCCGGUAAACGGCGGCCGUAACUAUAACGGUCCUAAGGUAGCGAAAUUCCUUGUCGGGUAAGUUCCGACCUGCACGAAUGGCGUAAUGAUGGCCAGGCUGUCUCCACCCGAGACUCAGUGAAAUUGAACUCGCUGUGAAGAUGCAGUGUACCCGCGGCAAGACGGAAAGACCCCGUGAACCUUUACUAUAGCUUGACACUGAACAUUGAGCCUUGAUG